rnacentral:rRNA from 1 species
CCGUGCAAAGGUAGCGUAAUCACUUGUCUUUUAAAUAAAGACUAGUAUGAAUGGCAUCACGAGAACUAAUCUGUCUCCCUCCCCCAAUCAGUGAAACUGAUCCUCCCGUGCAGAAGCGGGGAUAAUAUCAUAAGACGAGAAGACCCUGUGGAGCUUCAAAUCAAAAACCAACUGCUCCCUCUUCCCUUAAACAAGGAAAUAUUAAUGCAAACGCCUGGUUCUAGAUUUUUAGCUGGGGCGGCUAUGGAGAAAAAAAAAUCCUCCACGAAGAACUAUACUGAGGGCUACCGCCCUAAGCAUUAACAAAUUAAUUUAAUUGACCCUUUUUUGAUCAACGGACCAAGUUACCCCAGGGAUAACAGCGCAAUCCACUUUCAGAGUCCAUAUCGACAAGUGGGCU